rnacentral:rRNA from 1 species
UACGGAGGGAGCUAGCGUUAUUCGGAAUUACUGGGCGUAAAGCGCACGUAGGCGGCUUUGUAAGUUAGAGGUGAAAGCCUGGAGCUCAACUCCAGAACUGCCUUUGAUACUGGAGAGCUUGAGUCCGGGAGAGGUGAGUGGAACUCCGAGUGUAGAGGUGAAAUUCGUAGAUAUUCGGAAGAACACCAGUGGCGAAGGCGGCUCACUGGCCCGGUACUGACGCUGAUGUGCGAAAGCGUGGGGAGCAAACAGG